GUGUCUGCGACCGAGGGAGCGCUCGGGGACAGCAGAAAGAUCCUUCGGGAGCAGAAGGCGGCCAGCGCUCCUCCGCUCCGUGGGACUGGUCAAGGAACAGCCAACUUCCUUCUAAGGAACUAAGAGGGCCUCAAUUUGGACAUCGGACUGGUUUCCUGCCUUUACUCAACGCUGUUCCUCAGCUGAGAAACCCUCACCUCCUGUUACAUACCUACUCAUGCCUCAAGGGCCAACUCAAAAGUCAACUCCUUGAAGUCGUUGCCAACCCCCCGAGUCAAGAUUGUAUCAUUACACUGUAUUAGAG
rnacentral:lncRNA from 1 species